UUGGACAAUGGGCGCAACUGAUCCAGCGAUGCCGCGUGUGUGAAGAAGGCCUGCGGGUUGUAAAGCACUUUCAGUAGGGAAGAAAAGCCGAGUGCUAAUAUCACUCGGUCUUGACGUUACUUACAGAAGAAGCACCGGCUAACUCCGUGCCAGCAGCCGCGGUAAUACGGAGGGUGCGAGCGUUAAUCGGAAUUACUGGGCGUAAAGGGCGCGUAGGCGGUUUGGUAAGUCGGGUGUGAAAGCCCCGGGCUCAACCUGGGAAUUGCAUUCGAUACUGCCUGGCUAGAGUAUGGUAGAGGGAAGCGGAAUUCCGGGUGUAGCGGUGAAAUGCGUAGAUAUCCGGAGGAACACCAGUGGCGAAGGCGGCUUCCUGGACCAAUACUGACGCUGAGGCGCGAAAGCGUGGGGAUCAAACAGGAUUAGAUACCCUGGUAGUCCACGCCCUAAACGAUGAGAACUAGCCGUUGGAGGAGCUUUGUCCUUUAGUGGCGCACUAACGCGAUAAGUUCUCCGCCUGGGGAGUACGGCCGCAAGGUUA
rnacentral:rRNA from 1 species